rnacentral:rRNA from 1 species
UACAGGAGGGUGCGAGCGUUUGUCCGGAAUCACUGGGCGUAAAGGGCGCGUAGGUGGUGGCUUAAGCGUGCGGUGAAAGCUCGGGCUCAACCCCGAGUCGGCCGUGCGAACUGGGCUCACUGGAGCAUAGUAGAGGCAGGUGGAAUUCCGGGUGUAGCGGUGGAAUGCGUAGAUAUUCGGAGGAACACCAGUGGCGAAAGCGGCGACCUGGUCCUUUACGUGACGCUGAGGCGCGAAAGCGUGG